rnacentral:rRNA from 1 species
CCUACGGGGGGCAGCAGUGGGGAAUAUUGCACAAUGGGCGCAAGCCUGAUGCAGCCAUGCCGCGUGUGUGAAGAAGGCCUUCGGGUUGUAAAGCACUUUCAGCGGGGAGGAAGGCGGUGAGGUUAAUAACCUCAUCGAUUGACGUUACCCGCAGAAGAAGCACCGGCUAACUCCGUGCCAGCAGCCGCGGUAAUACGGAGGGUGCAAGCGUUAAUCGGAAUUACUGGGCGUAAAGCGCACGCAGGCGGUCUGUCAAGUCGGAUGUGAAAUCCCCGGGCUCAACCCGGGAACUGCAUUCGAAACUGGCAGGCUAGAGUCUUGUAGAGGGGGGUAGAAUUCCAGGUGUAGCGGUGAAAUGCGUAGAGAUCUGGAGGAAUACCGGUGGCGAAGGCGGCCCCCUGGACAAAGACUGACGCUCAGGUGCGAAAGCGUGGGGAGCAAACAGGAUUAGAUACCCGAGUAGUC